AUUGAACGAUGGCGGCAGGCUUAACACAUGCAAGUCGAGCGAGCGGCGGACGGGUGAGUAAUGUCUGGGAAACUGCCUGAUGGAGGGGGAUAAUUACUGGAAACGGUAGCUAAUACCGCAUACUAUCAGAGGUGCCCAGAUGGGAUUAGCUAGUAGGUGGGGUAACGGCUGACCUAGGCGACGAUCCCUAGCUGGUCUGAGAGGAUGACCAGCCACACUGGAACUGAGACACGGUCCAGACUCCUACGGGAGGCAGCAGUGGGGAAUAUUGCACAAUGGGCUCAAGCCUGAUGCGGCCAUGCCGCGUGUGUGAAGAAGGCCUUCGGGUUUUAAAGCACUUUCAGCGAGGAGGCGUUACUCGCAGAGGAAGCACCGGCUAACUCCGUGCCAGCCGCCGCGGUAAUAC
rnacentral:rRNA from 1 species